GACGAACGCUGGCGGCGUGCCUAAUACAUGCAAGUAGAACGCACAGUUUAUACCGUAGCUUGCUACACCAUAUACUGUGAGUUGCGAACGGGUGAGUAACGCGUAGGUAACCUGCCUGGUAGCGUGGGAUAACUAUUGGAAACGAUAGCUAAUACCGCAUAAUAUUGAUUAUUGCAUGAUAAUUAAUUGAAAGGUGCAAUUGCACCACUACCAUAUGGACCUGCGUUGUAUUAGCUAGUAGGUGAGGUAAGGGCUCACCUAGGCGACGAUACAUAGCCGACCGGAGAGGGUGAUAGGACACACUGGGACGGAGACAAGGUCAAGAAUACUACGGGAGGGAGCAGUAGGGAAGUUUCGGCAAAGGAAGAAAGGCUGAACGAGCAACGCCGCGUGAGUGAAGAAGGUUGUCGGAUCGUAAAGAUCAGUUGUAAGAGAAGAACGGGAGUGAGAGUGGAAAGGGCACACUGUGACGGUAUCUGAACAGAAAGGGACGGCUAACUACGUG
rnacentral:rRNA from 1 species